UUGGGUUUAGCAUUUAUUUGUUCUGUAAUUUUGAUUGUCUUGUAGAGAGUAUAAAUACUGGCAACAUAUCUAGAAUUGGUCAGAUUCAUCAUUACUUUAUUGCGAAUUCAGUUCUUCUCCUUUUCUCGGUUGAUUCGCCAGAAGUUUAACCUCGUCGAGCAUCAUGAAGACAUUCCAGCUUUCUGUUAUUCUCUUCGUAUCUCUCUGUCUCUUGUUAACCACAGAGCAGUCGGAAGCACGCCGCUCUCGUCUGUCUAAGGCAGUCAAGGAUGUCAUGCAUCCACGUGAGAAGCGAUCAUCUUCAUCUGAAUCUUCUGCUUCUUCAGCUUCUUCAUCAUCUUCUGCUGAAUCUGAUUCUGAUUCAGCAGAGGUAACGACCGCCGCUCCCACUCCCGCUCCCGCUCCCUAGUACUGAUGACAGUGCAGACAGUGAUACUAGCGAUUAGCCAGCAUCUUGGUUCAGGCCAACUGCGGUGACUCGAUGGAUCCUUGAGGAACUCCAAUCUUAAACGGCUCUUAACGGCUCAUGUUGACUGCUCCUCUCACUUUUAACACCACCCCCCCCCCCACUCCUCCAAAGUGACACUAAUCACGAGACAAAGCUCCUAGAUGGAUCCACAUCCGGGAUAGUAGUUUGUUCACGUGGUUCACCCUUUAGACUCUUGGGUCGUAUUGACCCGGAACUGGUCCGAUGUGACCUCUUGAUGGUCAGAUCUUACCUUUUCCAUGUCACAUCGGCCCUUUUUCGGGUCAUUUUCAAGAAAAUAUUGUUGAAAUAUCGAAAAUGAAAAAUUUGUCAACUUCCUAAUCCUCUUUUGGAAUCAGACGACUAGUCUGAAAAUGCUUGCAUAAAAUUAACCUUAGUCCUCAUCAUUCGUCUAGACAAUUAUACGCAAUGAGUAUUUUUUCAUAAGUUUUAAUAUUGUAAACGAAAUAUGCCGUAUUCAUUUUUUCCUUUGGAGGGAGCUAGGGAGGAAUUUCCUUUUUCUUUCCCUCUAUCUCUCUAUUCUCUCUCUCUCUCUCUUUACUGUUGGUGUUUUUUCUUUAUCCUGUAUACCAAGACACUGAUUAAAACCGUAUUAAGAUUAAAUUGAAGUCACCA